CGGGUGAGUAAUGCCUAGGAAUCUGCCUGGUAGUGGGGGACAACGUUUCGAAAGGAACGCUAAUACCGCAUACGUCCUACGGGAGAAAGCAGGGGACCUUCGGGCCUUGCGCUAUCAGAUGAGCCUAGGUCGGAUUAGCUAGUUGGUGAGGUAAUGGCUCACCAAGGCGACGAUCCGUAACUGGUCUGAGAGGAUGAUCAGUCACACUGGAACUGAGACACGGUCCAGGACUCCUACGGAGCAGCAGCA
rnacentral:rRNA from 1 species